rfam:Gossypium hirsutum cultivar TM-1 chromosome 8, whole genome shotgun sequence
AACCCAUGGUAAGGGCACCUUCUCAAUAAAUCCUUAUACAUCUCCCAUGCAUCGUAUAUGGUCUCUAAUUCCAUUUGCACAAAGGAAGAGAUAUCAUUCCUCAACUU